rnacentral:rRNA from 1 species
GAUAAACGCUAGCUACAGGCUUAACACAUGCAAGUCGCGGGGCAGCAUGGGGGUUGCUUGCACUCCCCGAUGGCGACCGGCGCACGGGUGAGUAACGCGUAUCCAACCUGCCCUUCACCACGGGAUAACCCGGCGAAAGUCGGACUAAUACCGUAUGUUGUCCAUUGACGGCAUCCGAUUUGGACGAAAGGUUUGGCGGUGAAGGAUGGGGAUGCGUCCGAUUAGCUGGACGGCGGGGUGACGGCCCACCGUGGCGACGAUCGGUAGGGGUUCUGAGAGGAAGGUACCCCACACUGGAGCUGAGACACGGUCCAGACUCCUACGGGAGGCAGCAGUGAGGAAUAUUGGUCAAUGGGCGUAAGCCUGAACCAGCCAAGUAGCGUGCAGGAUGACGGCCCUAUGGGUUGUAAACUGCUUUUAUGCGGGGAUAAAGUGGCCCACGUGUGGGUUUUUGCAGGUACCGCAUGAAUAAGGACCGGCUAAUUCCGUG